rnacentral:piRNA from 1 species
CUUACUUCAUGCCGUAUGAAAGA